rnacentral:rRNA from 1 species
CUACGGGUCGCUGCAGUGGGGAAUUUUGGACAAUGGGCGAAAGCCUGAUCCAGCCAUUCCGCGUGCAGGAUGAAGGCCCUCGGGUUGUAAACUGCUUUUGUACAGAACGAAAAGGUUUCUACUAAUACUAGGAGCUCAUGACGGUACUGUAAGAAUAAGCACCGGCUAACUACGUGCCAGCAGCCGCGGUAAUACGUAGGGUGCAAGCGUUAAUCGGAAUUACUGGGCGUAAAGCGUGCGCAGGCGGUUAUAUAAGUCAGAUGUGAAAUCCCCGGGCUCAACCUGGGAACUGCAUUUGAGAACUGUAUAGCUAGAGUACGGUAGAGGGGGAUGGAAUUCCGCGUGUAGCAGUGAAAUGCGUAGAUAUGCGGAGGAACACCAGUGGCGAAGGCGACUUUCUGGACCAAUACUGACACUGAGGUGCGAAAGCGUGGGGAGCAAACAGGAUUAGAUACCCUCGUAGUC